rnacentral:rRNA from 1 species
UACGAAGGGGGCUAGCGUUGCUCGGAAUUACUGGGCGUAAAGCGCACGUAGGCGGCUUUCUAAGUCGGGGGUGAAAUCCUGGAGCUCAACUCCAGAACUGCCUUCGAUACUGGAAAGCUCGAGUCCGGGAGAGGUGAGUGGAACUGCGAGUGUAGAGGUGAAAUUCGUAGAUAUUCGCAAGAACACCAGUGGCGAAGGCGGCUCAGCUGGCCCGGU